rnacentral:rRNA from 1 species
GAUGAACGCUGGCGGCGUGCCUAAUACAUGCAAGUCGAGCGAACAGACGAGGAGCUUGCUCCUCUGAUGUUAGCGGCGGACGGGUGAGUAACACGUGGAUAACCUACCUAUAAGACUGGGAUAACUUCGGGAAACCGGAGCUAAUACCGGAUAACAUGUUGAACCGCAUGGUUCAACAGUGAAAGACGGUCUUGCUGUCACUUAUAGAUGGAUCCGCGCCGCAUUAGCUAGUUGGUAAGGUAACGGCUUACCAAGGCAACGAUGCGUAGCCGACCUGAGAGGGUGAUCGGCCACACUGGAACUGAGACACGGUCCAGACGCCUACGGGAGGCAGCAGUAGGGAAUCUUCCGCAAUGGGCGAAAGCCUGACGGAGCAACGCCGCGUGAGUGAAGAAGGUCUUCGGAUCGUAAAACUCUGUUAUUAGGGAAGAACAAAUGUGUAAGUAACUAUGCACGUCUUGACGGUACCUAAUCAGAAAGCCACGGCUAACUACGUG